CAGUUUAUAUAGUUUUUUCAAAAGGUUCUAUAUUCUGUCUUUAUUUACGUACUCGCGUUAUUUUCCAUUUCGUGUUCUAUCGUACUGUUACGUUACGUGCAGACAACACACGUGGGAAUGUACCAGGCGUUUCUCUGUUGUUUGUUUGGUCUUAGAAAGGUGUAAAAGGACACUGUUAGUAACCAACAACCUAGAAUAAGCAAUAUACCCCACAGUAUAUCACGUCCCAGAUGCAUGCCGUGAAUGUCGUUAUCUUGCUUUAAGUUUUGCAGCCAUAACAAUGUUCAGAUGCAGCCUACAAAGAACUCAUCCUACAUCCUGCUGUCAGUACGACAUUUGUACCUUUACCAAGCUUAUUUUUAUUAUUAAACAGUCUAGUCGUU